rnacentral:misc_RNA from 1 species
AGGUGUCCGCUGCGAGAUGGGAUGCCCAGUGCCUAUGCCAUGCUUCCCCCCCGCCCAUGCACAAUGAUGGGCCAUGGCAUAGGCACCUCCCCCCUCGUCGAGCUGGGACGUUGGUCCGGCGGUCUCCGACCGUCGAGCCGAUCCGUCGAGGGGGCGGUCAGGUGGGAUGGUAGUGCUUUGUUGCUAUUUUUCGAGAGGAGAGGGACGGUGCUGCUCGGAUUUCGAUUUUUCCAACGUAUUCGAAGGGCAAUCGUGACCAUGGCUUUGGCUCUUGGAUGAGCGUGCGAACGGAGAAUGCCGCGGUUGGGUCAGGAUUCGAGUUUUAACCUCUCGGUGAAGCACGACGUUGUCUCUACUUUCUCGUCUGGCCGUCGAUGGAGAUUUUUCAUUGUUCUCCAUCAUGACCCGUCGGAAAAAAUGUUUUCAAACAAACUCGGUCUGGUGGGCUAGUAGUGCUGCGUUGCUAUUUUUCGAGAGGAGAGGGACGGUGCAUCUCGGAUUUUGAUUUUUCCAACGUAUUCAAAGGGCAAUCGUGACCAUGGCUUCGGCUUUUGGAUGAGCGUGCGAACGGAGAAUGCCGCGGUUGGGUCAGGAUUCGAGUUUUAACCUCUCGGGGAAGCACGACGUUGUCUCUACUUUCUCGUCUGGCCGUCGAUGGAGAUUUUUCAUUAUUCUCCAUCAUGACCCGUCGGAAAAAAUGUUUUCAAAAAAACUCGGUCCGAUAAAGAGAUAAUUCAUUAUGCUCCAUACCAAAACAUCCCAAAAAAAUGCGGAAGAACUAGCAUGCUUAGGCUUGUGCUAACUUGAUGCAUCAUAAGGUUUGUUGCGGUGGGUUGGGCGUAAUGGAGAAUCGUUGGUUUUUAAAAAUGUUUUCCAAAUGUCCCUCAAAGGUUUUUGUCCCUCGGUGGUCCGAUAAAGAGAUAAUUCAUUAUGCUCCAUACCAAAACAUCCCAAAAAAAUGCGGAAGAACUAGCAUGCUUAGGCUUGUGCUAACUUGAUGCAUCAUAAGGUUUGUUGCGGUGGGUUGGGUGUAAUGGAGAAUCGUUGGUUUUUUAAAAUGUUUUCCAAAUGUCCCUUAAAGGUUUUCGUCCCUCGGAUGGUGUGUUUCUUCAUGUGAAGCGGUGCUGGUGUGGUCUUGCUUGAUGUUUCCGCAUGCUCAGUGGUUCUAGUAACCGUUGGGUUGUGGUUCGUUUGGUUGGGUCAUCAUCAGUUGUACGCAACUCACGUGUGAGUGGUGGUCGGAUGGCAUGGGUCUGCAAGCUCCUUGCUCAGCGCAACGAAUUGUAAGCUCUCCAUCCUUUUCAUAGUCUUCCCCGAGCAUGGUCAUUUGCCUUGUGGGUAAGAUCGGUAUCCUGUGCUUUCUACCAAUUGAACGGAAUUCGGUUGUUUUCGUUUCCUUAUCCGCCCGGUUCCCUUAGGGGUGUUGGGUGGACGAUAGGCUGACCUCGUGUUCCAGGUACAUCUCGCAUUUUUGUGUGGUUACCAUGGCCCAUGGGGUUAUGCUUGUUCCCUCGGAUGCGGAUCGUUAGUUGUGGGCGAGGGGUCACGACCUCCAUUCGUCCAAGCUAUUAUUAAGCAUUUGUCAAUCGACACGGACGACCGCCGCACUCGUCUUGGCUUUUACAGUCGAAGGGCUGUACAACGUCCAUGCGAGCGUCGGCGUCGUGAAGGAAUGC